GCUGGCGGCGUGCCUAACACAUGCAAGUCGAACGCGAAAGUCCCGCAAGGGAUAAGUAGAGUGGCAAACGGGUGAGUAACACGUGGGUGACCUGCCUUCGAGCGGGGGAUAACGUCCCGAAAGGGACGCUAAUACCGCAUGACAUCCUGCCUUUGAAGAGGUGGAGAUCAAAGCUGGGGAUCGCAAGACCUAGCACUCGAAGAGGGGCCCGCGCCUGAUUAGCUAGUUGGUGGGGUAAUGGCUCACCAAGGCAACGAUCAGUAGCCGGCCUGAGAGGGCGGACGGCCACACUGGGACUGAGACACGGCCCAGACUCCUACGGGAGGCAGCAGUGGGGAAUUGUUCGCAAUGGGCGCAAGCCUGACGACGCAACGCCGCGUGGAGGACGAAGACCUUCGGGUCGUAAACUCCUUUCGACCGAGAUGAAUUCUCGCCGGCCUAAUAUGCCGGCGAGGUGACAGUAUCGAGGGAAGCAGCCCCGGCUAACUCCGUGCCAGCAGCCGCGGUAAUACGGGGGGGGCAAGCGUUGUUCGGAAUUACUGGGCGUAAAGGGUUCGUAGGUGGCUCGCUAAGUCAGACGUGAAAUCCCUCAGCUUAA
rnacentral:rRNA from 1 species